rnacentral:rRNA from 1 species
GACGAACGCUGGCGGCGUGCUUAACACAUGCAAGUCGAACGAGGUCCACCGCGUAGCAAUACAAGGGAAGACCUAGUGGCGAACGGGUGCGUAACACGUGAGGAACUUGUCCCGGUCUCUGGGAUAACAGUUGGAAACGACUGCUAAUACCGGAUGACGUCGGAGCAUCGCAUGGUGCGCUGACGAAAGGGUUACUGGAUCGGGAGAGCCUCGCGGCCUAUCAGCUUGUUGGUGGGGUAACGGCCUACCAAGGCAUCGACGGGUAGCUGGUCUGAGAGGAUGAUCAGCCACACUGGGACUGAGACACGGCCCAGACUCCUACGGGAGGCAGCAGUGGGGAAUCUUGCGCAAUGGGCGAAAGCCUGACGCAGCAACGCCGCGUGCGGGAAGAAGGCCCUCGGGUUGUAAACCGCUUUCAGCAGGAACGAAAAUGACGGUACUUGCAGAAGAAGGUGCGGCCAACUACGUG